GCGAGUUCAACUCUCUAUAACCCCUGUGAACGAACAGCUUUCGUUGCCUCGGCGGAGCGCACACCCAGCGGCCUCCGGAGCCCCGGGACCAGCCCUGCCGCAAGAACGCAAACUCUUGUUUAACUACUGUAUCUCUGAUUGACUAUCAAUAAGUUA
rnacentral:misc_RNA from 1 species